UGGGGAAUUUUCGGCAAUGGACGAAAGUCUGACCGAGCAACGCCGCGUGAGUGAAGAAGGUUUUCGGAUCGUAAAACUCUGUUGGUAGAGAAGAACGUUGGUGAGAGUGGAAAGCUCAUCAAGUGACGGUAACUACCCAGAAAGGGACGGCUAACUACGUACCAG
rnacentral:rRNA from 1 species